AAGUCGUAACAAGGUUUCCGUAGGUGAACCUGCGGAAGGAUCAUUAGAAUGAGGAGCCGGACCAUGUCGUGGGCGAAAGCCCAAACGUGCCAGUAAGCGCCCGUAAACCUCCACCCUUGGUGUAUUAUUCUUUGUUGCUUUGGUGGGGCCGCAAGCCUUCGGGCGAGCACCGGCUUCGGCUGGCAGAGUGCCUGCCAGAGGACCCAACUCUGUAAUUUAGUGAUGUCUGAGUACUAUUAAAUAGUUAAAA
rnacentral:misc_RNA from 1 species